CGCUGGCGGCAGGCCUAACACAUGCAAGUCGAGCGGUAGAGAGAAGCUUGCUUCUCUUGAGAGCGGCGGACGGGUGAGUAAUGCCUAGGAAUCUGCCUGGUAGUGGGGGAUAACGUUCGGAAACGGACGCUAAUACCGCAUACGUCCUACGGGAGAAAGCAGGGGACCUUCGGGCCUUGCGCUAUCAGAUGAGCCUAGGUCGGAUUAGCUAGUUGGUGAGGUAAUGGCUCACCAAGGCGACGAUCCGUAACUGGUCUGAGAGGAUGAUCAGUCACACUGGAACUGAGACACGGUCCAGACUCCUACGGGAGGCAGCAGUGGGGAAUAUUGGACAAUGGGCGAAAGCCUGAUCCAGCCAUGCCGCGUGUGUGAAGAAGGUCUUCGGAUUGUAAAGCACUUUAAGUUGGGAGGAAGGGUUGUAGAUUAAUACUCUGCAAUUUUGACGUUACCGACAGAAUAAGCACCGGCUAACUCUGUGCCAGCAGCCGCGGUAAUACAGAGUGUGCAAGCGUUAAUCGGAAUUACUGGGCGUAAAGCGCGCGUAGGUGGUUUGUUAAGUUGGAUGUGAAAUCCCCGGGCUCAACCUGGGAACUGCAUUCAAAACUGACUGACUAGAGUAUGGUAGAGGGUGGUGGAAUUUCCUGUGUAGCGGUGAGAUGCGUAGAUAUAGGAAGGAACACCAGUGGCGAAGGCGACCACCUGGACUAAUACUGACACUGAGGUGCGAAAGCG
rnacentral:rRNA from 1 species